GUGGAUCGAUGAAGACCGCAGCUAAAUGCGCGUCAGAAUGUGAACUGCAGGACACAUGAACACCGACACGUUGAACGCAUAUUGCACAUCGUACUACCAGUACGAUGUACACAUUUUUGAGUGCCUAUAUUUAUCCAUUCAACUAUACGUGCCGCCCGCGGCGCGUAUGCGUAGUGAUGUUUUCCCGCCUUCAGUGCGCGGUAAAACAUUGAAGAUAGUCAGACGUGGUGGUGACACACCGCGGUUGAUGAAUACAUCCCACUAUGGCGCGCUCGCUCGCCUUGUGUUGUAUUCCAUCAUUCACUCACUAACUAACUAACGCUCUAUAGUAGGCCUCAAAUAAUGUGUGACUACCCCCUAAAUUUAAGCAUAUUAAUAA
rnacentral:rRNA from 1 species